rnacentral:rRNA from 1 species
UACGUAGGGGCAAGCGUUAUCCGGAUUUACUGGGUGUAAAGGGAGCGCAGACGGAACUGCAAGUCUGAUGUGAAAGCCCGGGGCUCAACCGCGGGACUGCAUCGGAUACUGUGGAUCUGGAGUGCCGGAGGGGCAAGCGGAAUUCCUGGUGUAGCGGUGAAAUGCGUAGAUAUCAGGAGGAACACCGGCGGCGAAGGCGGCUUGCUGGACGGCAACUGACGUUGAGGCUCGAAAGCGUGGGGAGCAAACAAGAUUAGAUACCCCGGUA